UACAGAGGUCUCAAGCGUUGUUCGGAUUCAUUGGGCGUAAAGGGUGCGUAGGCGGCGCGGUAAGUCGGGUGUGAAAUCUUGGAGCUUAACUCCGAAACUGCAUUCGAUACUGCCGUGCUUGAGGACUGGAGAGGAGACUGGAAUUUACGGUGUAGCAGUGAAAUGCGUAGAGAUCGUAAGGAAGACCAGUGGCGAAGGCGAGUUUCUGGACAGUAACUGACGCUGAGGCACGAAGGCCAGGGGAGCAAACGGG
rnacentral:rRNA from 1 species